rnacentral:snRNA from 1 species
AUCUUUGCGCAGAGCAGUAUUGUAGCCAAUGAGGUUUAUCCGAGGCGCGAUUAUUGCUAAUUGAAAACUAUUCCCAAUAUCCCGCGAUGACGACUUGUAAUAUAGUCGGUUUUGGCAAUUUUUGAUAGUCUCCAGAGGGA